GACGAACGCUGGCGGCGUGCUUAACACAUGCAAGUCGAACGGAAAGGCCCUGCUUUUGCGGGGUUCUCGAGUGGCGAACGGGUGAGUAACACGUGAGUAACCUGCCCUUGUCUUUGGGAUAACUUCAGGAAACUGGGGCUAAUACCGGAUAGGAUCUCCUGCUGCAUGGUGGGGGUUGGAAAGUUUCGGCGGUUGGGGAUGGACUCGCGGCUUAUCAGCUUGUUGGUGGGGUAGUGGCUUACCAAGGCUUUGACGGGUAGCCGGCCUGAGAGGGUGACCGGCCACAUUGGGACUGAGAUACGGCGCAGAGUGCUACGGGAGGCAGCAGUGGGGAAUAUUGCACAAUGGGCGGAAGCCUGAUGCAGCAACGCCGGGUGCGGGAUGACGGCCUUCGGGUUGUAAACCGCUUUCGCCUGUGACGAAGCGUGAGUGACGGUAAUGGGUAAAGAAGCACCGGCUAACUACGUG
rnacentral:rRNA from 1 species